GAAAUUAUGGCUACCUCUGCUGUGUCACAUAGGUUGCCAAGGAAGUGGGAGAAAGCCAGCAGCCACAAGCCUCACCCAGCUCCCAUGGAGCCUGCAGCCUGCAGCUUGAAAGGCCAGCCUCAUUCCCACUGUGCCCCCACAACAGCACCGAAGCACCGAGUUUAUUUCCAGGCAGGCAGUGAGCAGGGCUGAGAAAUUGCCCCAGGCUACAAGCCUCCCAGCUGAGAAAGCAAGCAGACUCACAGUUCCUUGGCUGUCCCAUGCAGCCUGCAGCAGCAAUCCACCCCCUUUAAAGUGUCUGUGGAUUCUUUCAGCUUUUUUGGUAUGUUCCUAUGGUAGUUCUUGGGGCAAAAUUUCACAGUGUGAGUCUCCAAAUGCUGCUUUGUCUGUUCAAGUGGGAACUGCAAGUUAGUCCUGCUUCCUAUCUGCCAUUUUUUCCCGGUCUGUCUACAUUUUUAUACAGUUCAUCUUUUACAUGCUAGUAAAAGUAAUACUGUGCUUUAAAGUUUUUUUUGUUUGUUUGUUUGCUUGCUUGUUUGUUUUUAAAUAGGAAGGAGAAUCUGAUGUUUUUUGUUUGUUUGUUUGAGACAGAGUCUUGCUCUGACACCCAGGCUGGAGAGCAGUGGUACAAUCUUGGCUCACUGCAACCUCUGUCUCCCAGGUUCAAGCAAUUCUCCUGUCUCAGCCUCCCGAGUAGCUGGGAUUACAGUCAUGUGCCCCUGUGUCCAGAAUUGGUUCCUUCUGGUGGGUUCUUGGUCUUGCUGUCUUCAAGAAUGAAGCCGUGGACCCUCGUCAUGAAUGUUACAGUUCUUAAAGAUGGUAUGUCCAGAGUUUAUUCCUUCAGAUGUUCAGAUGUGUCUAGAGUUUCGUCCUUCCAGUGGGUUGGUGGUCUCGCUGACUUCAGGAGUGAAGCCUCAGACCUUCGCAGUCAGUGUUCCAGCUCUUAAAGGUGGCGUGUCCGGAGUUGUUUGUUCCUCCCGGUGGGUUUGUGGUCUCGCUGACUUCAGGAAUGAAGCCGCAGACCCUUGAGAAGAGAACAGCAUCAGGGCACAUUGAGGCUCAGAAAUUUAUAUUCCAAGAAGAGGUGCACAGGAACAGAGCAGAUCCAAAGCAGACAACCACCUGGAAGCAGUCAUAACAACAGCAAUAGCAAAUCAAUGCUGAUAAAAGAAAUCAAGUACAGAGAGUUUUAAGGACAUUGUCCAAAGUUGUACAAGACUCCAACACUAAGCAUUCACCUGGAGAUAACCUACAGAGAUACUCUGUGUUACCCACAACUAGUCUGUUGACUAAGUUGGUGAAUAUAUUUGGGAAAAGCCCAUGUGGAAGAAUGGAAGCCUGCAUUAUCUUUCUCAGAGACAGACAGGAAGGUGACUCUAUGGAAGACAUCAGCGAUAAACUAGGAAGGAGUGACACGGUAAGUGAAAAUAGAGAUAUGCAGUGUGAGAGAGAAAUUCUGCUUAUUUUUUCUUAAUAAAAGAAAAAUGAGAAUAUAAAGAGGAG
rnacentral:lncRNA from 10 species